rnacentral:rRNA from 1 species
AUGGCGGAGGAAACGUCUGCCAAGCGUCAUCAUGGCGAGACGUCCGAGAAGAGCAGGCUCAAAGGGGUUGAGCUCCACGGAAAGGAGACGCUGGAGAUCGUCUGCACCAGCGAACUAGACAAGGCCGACGCGAUGAUGAACCUGCUCAGGAUGAAGGGCGGCGGCUUGUAUCCGAGCUUCAUUAGAGUUGAUGUGGAGUACACCAGCAAAGAUGAACCUCCCCAGAUGGCAGCAGUCCUGCAGUUGUGCGUUGAGGAACUCUGCUUGGUGUACCACAUCGCAGCGGCCACAAAAUCGCCCAAGCGCCUCAAACAAUUCCCGCAGGAGGAGAAAUUGUACACAUUUGCCAGUUUCAGCAUUGAAGAUGAUAAGAAGAUGCUGAAUAAGUUUGGUUUGGAGAUUAACCCCAACAACUUCAUUGACAUGCAGCACAAGUGGAAAGUUCCAAUCACAAACAAAUUCUACAACUCCUUAUCGAUGUUGCAGCCAGUGUCAUCCACCCAUUCUACAAAGGCAUGA